GACAGUUUAGCUUAAUGGUAAAGCACUUGAUGCGUAAUCACAGGGAUGUGAGUUCGAGUCUCAUGGCUGGCC
rfam:Octopus bimaculoides Scaffold136962_contig_71, whole genome shotgun sequence.